GCCCUUGUAGCUCAGCGGUAGAGCAGCGGUUUUGUAAACCGAAGGUCGCGGGUUCAAUCCCUGCCGGGGGCACCA
rnacentral:tRNA from 5 species